rnacentral:rRNA from 1 species
GAUGAACGCUGGCGGCGUGCCUAAUACAUGCCAGUCGAGCGAACAGACGAGGAGCUUGCUCCUUUGACGUUAGCGGCGGACGGGUGAGUAACACGUGGGUAACCUACCUAUAAGACUGGGAUAACUUCGGGAAACCGGAGCUAAUACCAGAUAAUAUUUCGAACCGCAUGGUUCGAUAGUGAAAGAUGGCUUUGCUAUCACUUAUAGAUGGACCUGCGCCGUAUUAGCUAGUUGGUAAGGUAACGGCUUACCAAGGCAACGAUACGUAGCCGACCUGAGAGGGUGAUCGGCCACACUGGAACUGAGACACGGUCCAGACUCCUACGGGAGGCAGCAGUAGGGAAUCUUCCGCAAUGGGCGAAAGCCUGACGGAGCAACGCCGCGUGAGUGAUGAAGGUCUUCGGAUCGUAAAACUCUGUUAUUAGGGAAGAACAAACGUGUAAGUAACUGUGCACGUCUUGACGGUAUCUAAUCAGAAAGCCACGGCUAACUACGUG